GAUGAACGCUGGCGGCGUGCUUAACACAUGCAAGUCGAACGGAAAGGCCCAAGCUUGCUUGGGUACUCGAGUGGCGAACGGGUGAGUAACACGUGGGUGAUCUGCCCUGCACUUCGGGAUAAGCCUGGGAAACUGGGUCUAAUACCGGAUAGGACCACUUCUUGGAUGUUGUGGUGGAAAGGUUUUUCGGUGUGGGAUGAGCUCGCGGCCUAUCAGCUUGUUGGUGGGGUAAUGGCCUACCAAGGCGUCGACGGGUAGCCGGCCUGAGAGGGUGUACGGCCACAUUGGGACUGAGAUACGGCCCAGACUCCUACGGGAGGCAGCAGUGGGGAAUAUUGCACAAUGGGCGCAAGCCUGAUGCAGCGACGCCGCGUGGGGGAUGACGGCCUUCGGGUUGUAAACUCCUUUCGCUAGGGACGAAGCGUUUUGUGACGGUACCUGGAGAAGAAGCACCGGCUAACUACGUG
rnacentral:rRNA from 1 species